rfam:Kaistia sp. SCN 65-12 ABS35_C0615, whole genome shotgun sequence.
GCACGGCUCUCCACAGGCCGUGGUCACUGAAGAGGCACUACAUCCUUGCCGGGCGUGCGGAUCGGGUCUCCCGUUCCAAGCGAAGGCAGCGCUCACGAUGAACGCUCCCGUUCGUCAAAGCGACUGCCACCCGCGAAAACUGCCGGCUCAUCCC